UACAGAGGCCUCGAGCGUUAGGCGGAAUCACUGGGCUUAAAGCGUGUGUAGGCGGACUUCUAAGUGCCUUGUGAAAUCCCACGGCUCACCCGUGGAACUGCUGGGCAUACUGGGAGUCUUGAGCCACCUAGGGGCGAGCGGAACAAAUGGUGGAGCGGUGAAAUGCGUAGAUAUCAUUUGGAACGCCAACGGAGAAAUCAGCUCGCUGGGGGUGUGCUGACGCUGAGACGCGAAAGCCAGGGGAGCGAACGGG
rnacentral:rRNA from 1 species